rnacentral:lncRNA from 1 species
AUGGGCUCUCCAUCUCUCUCCCUGCCUCUCUCCCUCUCCCAUGGGCUCUCCAUCUCUCUCUCCUUCUCUCUCCCUUUCCCAUGGGCUCCCCCUCUCUCCCAUGGCCUCUCCCUAUCCUCCAUCUCCUCCUCGCUCUCCUCCUCUCUCCCUCUCUCCCAUGGGCUUCCCCUCUCUUCCUCUCCCAUAGGCUCCCCCUCUUGCUUCAUCUCCCACGGGCUCUCCAUCUCUCUCCCCAUCUUCCUCUCUCCCUCUCCCUCUCCCAUGGGCUCUCCAUCUCUCUCCCUGCCCCUCUCCCUCUCCCAUGGGCUCUCCAUCUCUCUCCCUGCCUCUCUCCCUCUCCCAUGGGCUCUCCAUCUCUCUCUCCCUGCCUCUCUCCCUCUCCUAUGGGCUCCCCAUCUUCCUCUCUCCCUCUCCCUCUCCCAUGGCCUCUCCCUAUCCUCCAUCUCCUCCUCGCUCUCCUCCUCUCUCCCUCUCUCCCAUGGGCUUCCUCUCCCUCUCUCUUCCAUAGGCUCCCCCUCUCGCUUCAUCUCCCAUGGGCUCUCCAUCUCUCUCCCCAUCUUCCUCUCUCCCUCUCCCUCUCCCAUGGGCUCUCCAUCUCUCUCUCCCCAUCUUCCUCCCUCUCUCUCUCUCCCAUGGGCUCUCCAUCUCUCCCCAUCUUCCUCUCUCCCUCUCCCAUGGGCUCUCCAUCUCUCUCCCCAUCUUCCUCUCUCCCUCUCCCUCUCCUAUGGGCUCUCCAUCUCUCUCUCCCUAUCUUCCUCCCUCUCUCUCCCUCUACCAUGGGCUCUCCAUCUCUCUCUCCCUAUCUUCCUCCCUCUCUCCCUCUCCCAUGGGCUCUCCAUCUCUCUCUCCCAUGGGCUCUCCAUCUCUCUCUCCCUAUCUUCCUCCCUCUCUCCCUCUCCCAUGGGCUCUCCCUCUCUUGUCGUGAUGACAGCCAUCCUACUAUACUCUCUCCAAAAUCACAACAUUGGAUUUGAUUUGUCAGAGUUAUGUACUAAUCACAUUGUCUUAAAGAAAUCACGUUAA